UAAAUUCUGAUUAAAUAGGUUGGUAAGUGAAAUUAGUAGGAUAAAUUCUGAUUAAAUAGGUUGGUAAGUGAAAUUAGUAGGAUAAAUUCUGAUUAAAUAGGUUGGUAAGUGAAAUUAGUAGGAUAAAUUCUGAUUAAAUAGGUUGGUAAGUGAAAUUAGUAGGAUAAAUUCUGAUUAAAUAGGUUGGUAAGUGAAAUUAGUAGGAUAAAUUCUGAUUAAAUAGGUUGGUAAGUGAAAUUAGUAGGAUAAAUUCUGAUUAAAUAGGUUGGUAAGUGAAAUUAGUAGGAUAAAGUCUGAUUAAAUAGGUUGGUAAGUGAAAUUAGUAGGAUAAAUUCUGAUUAAAUAGGUUGGUAAGUGAAAUUAGUAGGAUAAAUUCUGAUUAAAUAGGUUGGUAAGUGAAAUUAGUAGGAUAAAUUCUGAUUAAAUAGGUUGGUAAGUGAAAUUAGUAGGAUAAAUUCUGAUUAAAUAGGUUGGUAAGUGAAAUUAGUAGGAUAAAUUCUGAUUAAAUAGGUUGGUAAGUGAAAUUAGUAGGAUAAAUUCUGAUUAAAUAGGUUGGUAAGUGAAAUUAGUAGGAUAAAUUCUGAUUAAAUAGGUUGGUAAGUGAAAUUAGUAGGAUAAAUUCUGAUUAAAUAGGUUGGUAAGUGAAAAACUUUAGUUUUAAAACACCUUUAAAUUUGCAAUUUAAUAUCAUAUUUGAAUAUAAAGUUAAUUGAUUAAAAAGAAAAAAAUUCUUAUAAAUAAAUUUACAAUUUAUCGCUUAAUUUCAGCCAUUUAAUCAAAAUAAUUAUUUUUUUUUAAAAAAAAUAUAGAUAAAAAAAAUAAAGUUUAUAUUUAUUUUAAAUUUGAUAAAAAAAAUUCAUAAUAAUCGAAACAAUGGUUAUUUUCUACUAAUCAUAAAAAUAUUGGUACUUUAUAUUUUAUUUUUGGAAUUUGAUCAGGAUUAAUUGGAACUUCUUUAAGAAUAUUAAUUCGUUUAGAAUUAAGACACCCAGGAGCUUUAAUUGGGAAUGAUCAAAUUUAUAAUGUAAUUGUUACUGCUCAUGCUUUUGUAAUAAUUUUUUUUAUAGUAAUACCUGUGAUAAUUGGUGGGUUUGGAAAUUGAUUAGUUCCUUUAAUAUUAGGAGCUCCUGAUAUAGCUUUUCCUCGGAUAAAUAAUAUAAGAUUUUGAUUAUUACCUCCUUCAAUUACUUUACUUUUAUUAAGAAGUUUAGUGGAAAAUGGGGCGGGAACUGGUUGAACUGUUUAUCCUCCAUUAUCAGCUAAUGUUUCUCAUGCUGGGGCUUCAGUUGAUUUAGCAAUUUUUUCUUUACAUUUAGCAGGGAUUAGUUCAAUUUUAGGAGCUGUAAAUUUUUUAACAACAAUUAUUAAUAUACGACCAGUAGGAAUAUCAUUUGAUCGUGUUCCAUUAUUUGUUUGAUCAGUAUUUAUUACAGCUAUUUUAUUAUUAUUAUCUUUACCAGUAUUAGCGGGAGCAAUUACUAUAUUGUUAACGGAUCGAAAUAUUAAUACUUCUUUUUUUGACCCGGCAGGAGGAGGUGAUCCUAUUUUAUACCAACAUUUAUUUUGAUUUUUUGGUCACCCAGAAGUUUAUAUUUUAAUUUUACCAGGAUUUGGGAUUGUUUCUCAUAUUAUUUGUCAAGAAAGAGGAAAAAAAGAAGCUUUUGGAGUUUUAGGUAUAAUAUAUGCUAUUGCUGCAAUUGGUUUAUUAGGAUUUAUUGUUUGAGCUCAUCAUAUAUUUACUGUUGGGUUAGAUGUAGACACUCGAGCUUAUUUUACUUCAGCUACUAUAAUUAUUGCUGUUCCUACAGGGAUUAAAAUUUUUAGUUGAAUAGCAACAAUAUAUGGAACUCAAUUAAACCUUACUCCUGCUUUGUUAUGAUCUUUAGGGUUUGUAUUUUUAUUUACUGUAGGAGGAUUAACAGGUAUUGUUUUAGCUAAUUCUUCUUUAGAUAUUGUUUUACAUGAUACAUAUUAUGUAGUAGCUCAUUUUCAUUAUGUUUUAUCAAUAGGGGCUGUAUUUGCUAUUAUAGGAGGGUUUGUUCAUUGAUAUCCAUUAUUUACGGGUUUAUCAAUAGAUACAAUGUUAUUAAAAGCUCAAUUUUAUAUUAUAUUUUUGGGAGUAAACUUAACUUUUUUUCCUCAACAUUUUUUAGGUUUAUCAGGAAUACCUCGACGAUAUUCAGAUUAUCCUGAUUCUUAUAUUACAUGAAAUAUAAUUUCUUCUUUAGGAUCUUUAAUUUCAUUUUUAGGAACUUUAAUAUUUUUAUUUAUUAUAUGAAAAAGUUUAGUUUCUAAUCAAUCUGUAUUGUAUUCAGAAAAUUUAAAUUCUUCAAUUGAAUGGUAUCAAAAUCUUCCUCCUUCUGAACAUAGUUUCAUACAAAUACCUUUAUUAAUUAAAUAAAAAAAGUUUUUAUAAAUAAAAAUUUAAUAUGGCAGAUAAAUGCAAUAGAUUUAAAUUCUAUCAAUAAAGUAUAACUUUUAUUAAAAUUAUUAAUGGCAACUUGAGGAAGUAUAUUUUUAUUAGAUAGAAGUUCUCCUGUAAUAGAACAAUUAAAUUUUUUUCAUGAUCAUACUUUAUUAGUAUUAAUAAUUAUUACAGUUUUAAUUGGUAAUUCUAUAUUAUCUUUAUUUUUUAAUAAAUUUUCUAAUCGAUUUUUAUUAAUAGAUCAAUUUAUUGAAAUUUUUUGAACAAUUAUACCAGUUUUAGUUUUAUUUGCAGUAGCUUUACCUUCUAUACGAUUAUUAUAUUUAUUAGAUGAUCCUUACAAAUCUUCAAUUAGUGUAAAAGUUAUUGGGCAUCAAUGAUAUUGAAGAUAUGAAUAUCCUGAUUUCAAUAAUUUAGAAUUUGAUUCUUAUAUAAUUCCUACUAAUGAAUUAAAUAUAAAUGAAUUUCGUUUAUUAGAUGUAGAUAAUCGAUUAAUUUUACCUAGAUAUACAAAUAUUCGAUUUAUUGUUUCAGCAAUAGAUGUAUUACAUUCAUGAACAAUUCCAUCUCUAGGAAUUAAAGUAGAUGCUGUACCUGGUCGAUUAAAUCAAAUUAAUACUUAUAUAUAUCGAGUUGGUUUAUAUUUUGGUCAAUGUUCAGAAAUUUGUGGGGCAAAUCAUAGAUUUAUACCAAUUGUUUUAGAAUCUGUUUCUAUUAAAUAUUUUAUUGCUUGAAUAAAAAAUUUUAUAAAUUAAUUUUUUAUUAUAUUAAAUAAAAAAAUUAGUUAAAUUUAUAACAUUAGUUUGUCAAACUAAAAUUAUUUCUAUAAAUAUUUUUUAAUCCCACAAAUAGCUCCUUUAAAAUGAAUUAUUUUAUUUUUAAUUUUUUUAUUUACAUAUAUAUUUGUUAAUUUUAUGAAUUAUUAUUUAUUUAUACCAAAAAUUGUUGAUUUAAAAAAUUUUGAUAAAAAUUCUAAUAAAAAUUUAAAUAAAAAAUUUUUAAUAAAAUGAUAAUAAAUUUAUUUUCAGUUUUUGAUCCUUGUUCAUCAAUUUAUAAUUUUUCAUUAAAUUGAAUAAGAACAUUUUUGAUUUUUUUAUUAAUACCAAUAUCUUAUUGAAUUAUUCCUUCUCGAAUUUCUUUUAUAAUGCAAACAAUUUUUCAAGUUUUACAUAAAGAAUUUAAAAUUUUAUUAGGUGUUAAUUCAUUUAAUGGGUCAACAUUUUUAUUUAUUAAUUUAUUUGUGUUUAUUUUUUUUAAUAAUUUUUUAGGGUUAUUUCCUUAUAUUUUUACUUCUUCUAGACAUUUAGUAUUUACAUUGACUUUAAGAUUACCUUUAUGAAUUAGUUUUAUAUUAUAUGGGUGAAUUAAUAAUACUCAACAUAUAUUUUGUCAUUUAGUACCUCAAGGUACACCUAGAUUAUUAAUACCUUUUAUAGUAUGUAUUGAAACAAUUAGAAAUUUUAUUCGCCCAGGUACUUUAGCUGUCCGGUUAACUGCUAAUAUAAUUGCUGGACAUUUAUUAAUAACUUUAUUAGGAAAUACAGGAGUAUCAAUAAGAACUAUAUUUGUAAGAAUUUUAAUUAUUGUGCAAAUUUUAUUAUUAACUUUAGAAUCAGCAGUAUCAAUUAUUCAAGCUUAUGUAUUUGCUGUAUUAACAACUUUAUAUGCUAGAGAAAUUAAUUAAUUAAUAAUGAUAAACCAUUCUAAUCACCCAUUUCAUUUAGUAGAUUAUAGUCCUUGACCAUUAACAGGAGCUUUAGGAGCUUUUUGUUCAGUAACUGGAUUAGUUCAAUGAUUUCAUCAAUAUAGAUUAAAUUUAUUUAUAAUAGGAAAUAUUAUUACUUUAUUAACUAUAUAUCAAUGAUGACGUGAUAUUUCUCGAGAAGGGACCUUUCAAGGUUUACAUACAUAUGAUGUUGUUACUGGUCUUCGAUGGGGUAUAAUUUUAUUUAUUACAUCAGAAGUUUGUUUUUUUUUUUCAUUUUUUUGAACUUUUUUUCAUAGAAGAUUAUCUCCUACUAUUGAGUUAGGGGAAAUUUGGCCUCCUUUAAAUAUUCAAGCAUUUAAUCCUUUUCAGAUUCCUUUAUUAAAUACAGUAAUUUUAUUAACUUCUGGAAUUACAAUUACUUGAGCUCAUCAUAGAUUAAUAGAAAAUAAUAAACAACAAACUACUCAAGGUUUAUUUUUUACUAUUUUAUUAGGACUAUAUUUUUCUAUUCUUCAAGGUUAUGAAUAUAUAGAAGCAUCUUUUACAAUGUCUGAUUCAGUAUAUGGUUCAAUUUUUUUUUAAACUACAGGAUUUCAUGGAUUACAUGUAUUAAUUGGAACAAUAUUUUUAAUUAUUUGUUUAAUUCGUCAUUUAAAUAAUCAUUUCUCUAUAAAUCAUCAUUUUGGGUUUGAAGCUGCUGCAUGAUAUUGACAUUUUGUAGAUGUAGUAUGAUUAUUUGUUUAUAUUUCUAUUUAUUGAUGAGGUAAUUA